AGAAUCAACGCUGGCGGCGUGCCUAACACAUGCAAGUCGAACGAGAAAGUGGAGCAAUCCAUGAGUAAAGUGGCGCACGGGUGAGUAACACGUGACUAACCUACCCUGGAGUGGGGGAUAACUGAGGGAAACCUUAGCUAAUACCGCAUAAUACCUACGGGUCAAAGGAGCAAUUCGCUUUGGGAGGGGUCGCGGCCGAUUAGUUAGUUGGCGGGGUAAUGGCCCACCAAGACGAUGAUCGGUAUCCGGCCUGAGAGGGCGCACGGACACACUGGAACUGAAACACGGUCCAGACUCCUACGGGAGGCAGCAGUGGGGAAUUUUGCGCAAUGGGGGAAACCCUGACGCAGCAACGCCGCGUGGAGGAUGAAGUCCUCGGGACGUAACUCCUUCGAUCGGACGAUAUGACGGUACCGGAGAGAGCCCGGCUAACUCGCGCCAGCAGCCGC
rnacentral:rRNA from 1 species